rnacentral:lncRNA from 1 species
UCUAUCAACUGAUGUGGAAGUGCAACUGGAGAUUGGCAACUCGAGUCAUUGGGGGUAUGGUGAUGAGGAAAACCUAGCCCACUCUCGCCACCUGCAUGCCAGCGCUGUCCUGGAUGUGGGCAAGAGACAUAGCAGAGAACAAGACAGGAAGCUCAAUUCUAGGAAAAAUGUGUUAACUGAAGGACUAAAUAAAUGAAUGAUUAACUAAUUUGCAAGGGCAAGGAAGACGGCAGAGGCUUUCCCAUAAAAGAUUAAAUGCCUGGGAAACG